AAUCGAACCCGGAGAUAGCUGGUUCUCCCCGAAAUAGCUUUAGGGCUAGCGUCGCAGCGAGAGAGCCGUGAAGGUAGAGCACUGAAUAUGCGAUGGCCGCAUCCCGCGGUACUGAGCAUAAUCAAACUCCGAAUGUCACGGUGUCAUCUGCGGCAGUCAGACGGCGAGUGAUAAGGUCCGUCGUCAAGAGGGAAACAGCCCAGACCAUCAGCUAAGGUCCCAAAGUGCAUGCUAAGUGGAAAAGGAAGUGGAGACGUGCAGACAACUAGGAGGUUGGCUCAGAAGCAGCCAUCCUUCAAAGAGUGCGUAACAGCUCACUAGUCGAAUGACUCUGCGCCGAUAAUUUACCGGGGCUAAGCAUGACACCGAAGCUAUGGACAGGAAUGUGGUAGGGGAGCAUUGCAUGCAGCGGAGAAGCAUGACCGAAAGGGCAUGUGGAGCGCAUGGAAGAGAGAAUGCCGGCGUGAGUAGCGGCACGUGGGUGAGAAUCCCACGCACCGAUGGCCCAAGGUCUCCAGAGGAAGGCUCGUCCUCUCUGGGAUAGUCGGGACCUAAGGCGAGGCCGAAAGGCGUAGCCGAUGGACGACGGGUGGAUAUUCCCGUACCCGAUGUGUGGCGAUGGAGUGACGGAGAAGGCUCAGGCAACCAGCUGAUGGAAUAGCUGGGGCAAGCGAGAUACCUGCGCACCAGGGAAAUCCGGUGCGCAUAAGGGGAAGGCGCGAUGCAUACGGAAAGCUUCGGCAAGUACGGAAAAGCUGAGAGCAGGCUUCCAGGAAAAGCUUCUAGCACAACACACAUCGGCCCGUACCGAAAAUGGACACACAUGGGCAAGGAGAGAAUCCUGAGGUGAGCGAGAGAACUAUAGCUAAGGAACUCUGCAAAAUGACCCCGUAACCUAGGGAGAAGGGGUGCUCCAGAAAUGGAGCCGCAGUAAAACGGCCCAAGCGACUGUUUACCAAAAACACAGCUCUCUGCGAAGGCGCAAGCCGAAGUAUAGGGGGUGACGCCUGCCCGGUGCUGGAAGGUCAAGGGGAGCUGUCAGCGCAAGCGAAGCAGCGAGCCGAAGCCCCAGUAAACGGCGGCCGUAACUAUAACGGUCCUAAGGUAGCGAAAUUCCUUGUCGGGCAAGUUCCGACCCGCACGAAAGGCGUAACGAUUUGGGCGCUGUCUCAGCUGUAGACUCGGUGAAGUCUUAGUACCUGUGAAGAUGCAGGUUGCCCGCGACUAGACGGAAAGACCCCAUGGAGCUUCACUGCAGGUUGACAUUGGGCUUGGAUGCAUGAUGUACAGGAUAGGUGGGAGGCUGUGAGCCGUGCGCGCCAGCGUACGGGGAGCCGCUGUUGGGAUACCACCCUUCAUGCAUCUAGGUCCUAACCGGAGGCAACGGGCCACGGGACAGUGUCAGUCGGGCAGUUUGACUGGGGCGGUCGCCUCCCAAAGAGUAACGGAGGCGCCCAAAGAUACCCUCAGCAUGGAUGGAAACCAUGCAUAGAGUGCAAAGGCAUAAGGGUGUCUGACUGCGAGACAUACAGGUCGGGCAGGGACGAAAGUCGGGCUUAGUGAUCCGGCGGAUCCGAAUGGAAGGGCCGUCGCUCAACGGAUAAAAGCUACCCUGGGGAUAACAGGCUGAUCUCGCCCAAGAGUUCACAUCGACGGCGAGGUUUGGCACCUCGAUGUCGGCUCAUCGCAUCCUGGAGCUGGAUUCGGUUCCAAGGGUUGGGCUGUCCGCCCAUUAAAGCGGUACGCGAGCUGGGUUCAGAACGUCGUGAGACAGUUCGGUCCCUAUCUGUCGUGGGCGCAGGAGGUUUGAGGAGAGCUGCCCCUAGUACGAGAGGACCGGGGUGGACGGACCGAUGGUGCACCAGUUGUCACGCCAGUGGCACAGCUGGGCAGCCAAGUCCGGACGGGAUAAGCGCUGAAGGCAUCUAAGCGUGAAGCCCCCUCCAAGAUGAGACCUCCCAUUGG
rnacentral:rRNA from 1 species